rnacentral:rRNA from 1 species
UACAGAGGUCUCAAGCGUUGUUCGGAUUCAUUGGGCGUAAAGGGUGCGUAGGUGGCGAGGUUAGUCAGGUGUGAAAUCUCGGGGCUCAACCCCGAAACUGCACUUGAUACUGCCUUGCUAGAGUACUGGAGAGGAGAUUGGAAUUUACGGUGUAGCAGUGAAAUGCGUAGAUAUCGUAAGGAAGACCAGUGGCGAAGGCGAAUCUCUGGACAGUUACUGACACUGAGGCACGAAGGCCAGGGGGAGCAAAACGGG